GUGUUCACUUCAACAGCACAUAUACUAAAAUUGGAACGAUACAGAGAAGAUUAGCAUGGCCCCUGUGCAAGGGUAAUGUGCAAAUUCAUGAAGCGUUCUGUAUGUUU
ensembl:snRNA U6 U6 spliceosomal RNA